rnacentral:rRNA from 1 species
GUUAUAUGGUCAAGCGAAUAAGCGCACACGGUGGAUGCCUUGGCGGUCAGAGGCGAUGAAGGACGUGGCAGCCUGCGAAAAGUAUCGGGGAGCUGGCAACAAGCUUUGAUCCGGUAAUGUCCGAAUGGGGAAACCCACCCGCUUGCGGGUAUCUGUCUCAACACAU